rnacentral:rRNA from 1 species
UACGAAGGGGGCAAGCGUUGCCCGGAAUCAUUGGGCGUAAAGAGCGUGUAGGCGGCUUGGUAAGUCCGCUGUGAAAGUCCAGGGCUCAACCCUGGAAUGCCGGUGGAAACUGUCAAGCUUGAGUCCGGAAGAGGCGAGUGGAAUUCCUGGUGUAGCGUUGAAAUGCGCAGAUAUCAGGAGGAACACCAAUGGCGAAGGCAGCUCGCUGGGACGGUACUGACGCUGAGACGCGAAAGCGUGGGGAGCGAUCCGG